GGGGUUGUGGCUUAAAGGUAGAGUGCUUGCCUAGCCUGUAUGAGGUACUGGGUUCUAUCCUCAGCACCGCA
rnacentral:tRNA from 1 species